rnacentral:lncRNA from 1 species
UACAACACAAUUACUUAACACUUGCCACGCUUUACACCACUAUUCAUUCCGUUCAACUAUUAUCAGAUAUAGAUAGACAGUUCUGAUUGUUUAUGCCAAGCGAAUGGAGAAUUGAAGCAAUUCGAUAUCAGUUGAGCUGUUCCAUAGGAUGUUGAUCACGAUACUAGGGCGGACCUGUGCCUUAGAGACUAAAACCGAAGAUAGACUUAGUUAACUAUGUUAUAAACUCUUUGUUUUCCUAUUUAAGACAAUGUACUACCCUUGUUUAAUACAUAAAAUGUAACUCUAAUUUCCAUGGUUGUAUAACAAUUAAUUCUGUCCACAACACUCC